rnacentral:rRNA from 1 species
UACGUAGGAGACAAACGUUAUCCGGAUUUACUGGGCGUAAAGGGCGCGUAGGUGGCUUCGUAAGUCUGGCGUGAAAUUUUUCGGCUUAACCGGGAAAGGUCGUCGGAUACUGCAGAGCUAGAGGACGGUAGAGGCGUGUGGAAUUCCGGGUGUAGUGGUGAAAUGCGUAGAGAUCCGGAGGAACACCAGUGGCGAAGGCGACACGCUGGGCCGUACCUGACACUGAUGCGCGACAGCAUGGGGAGCAAACAGG